UCCGUAGGUGAACCUGCGGAAGGAUCAUUACCGAGUGCGGGCCCUCUGGGUCCAACCUCCCAUCCGUGUCUAUCUGUACCCUGUUGCUUCGGCGUGGCCACGGCCCGCCGGAGACUAACAUUUGAACGCUGUCUGAAGUUUGCAGUCUGAGUUUUUAGUUAAACAAUCGUUAAAACUUUCAGCAACGGAUCUCUUGGUUCCGGCAUCGAUGAAGAACGCAGCGAAAUGCGAUAAUUAAUGUGAAUUGCAGAAUUCAGUGAAUCAUCGAGUCUUUGAACGCACAUUGCGCCCCCUGGUAUUCCGGGGGGCAUGCCUGUCCGAGCGUCAUUGCUGCCCUCAAGCACGGCUUGUGUGUUGGGCUUCCGUCCCUGGCAACGGGGACGGGCCCAAAAGGCAGUGGCGGCACCAUGUCUGGUCCUCGAGCGUAUGGGGCUUUGUCACCCGCUCCCGUAGGUCCAGCUGGCAGCUAGCCUCGCAACCGAUCUUUUUAACCAGGUUGACCUCGGAUCAGGUAGGGAUACCCGCUGAACUUAAGCAUAUCAAUAAGCGGAGGA
rnacentral:rRNA from 1 species